UGGGGAAUCUUGCGCAAUGGCCGAAAGGCUGACGCAGCGACGCCGCGUGUGGGAGGACGCCCUUCGGGGUGUAAACCACUGUUGCCCGGGACGAACAUCCUCUUUCGAGAGGACUGACGGUACCGGGUGAGGAAGCACCGGCUAACUCCGUGCCAGCAGCCGCGGUAAUACGGAGGGUGCGAGCGUUGUCCGGAAUCACUGGGCGUAAAGGGCGCGUAGGUGGCGCGGGUAGUCAUCGGUGAAAGCUCAGGGCUCAACCCUGAGUCGGCCGGUGAUACUCCCGCGCUCGAGUGUGGUAGAGGCCAAUGGAAUUCCGGGUGUAGCGGUGGAAUGCGUAGAGAUCCGGAAGAACACCGGUGGCGAAGGCGGUUGGCUGGGCCACAACUGACACUGAUGCGCGACAGCGUGGGGAGCAAACA
rnacentral:rRNA from 1 species